rnacentral:rRNA from 1 species
CCUACGGGAGGCAGCAGUGGGGAAUAUUGCACAAUGGGGGAAACCCUGAUGCAGCGACGCCGCGUGAGUGAAGAAGUAUUUCGGUACGUAAAGCUCUAUCAGCAGGGAAGAAAAUGACGGUACCUGACUAAGAAGCCCCGUCUAACUACGUGCCAGCAGCCGCGGUAAUACGUAGGGGGCAAGCGUUAUCCGGAUUUACUGGGGGUAAAGGGAGCGUAGACGGCAGCGCAAGUCUGGAGGGAAAUCCCAUGGCUUAACCCUGGAACUGCUUUGGAAACUGUGCAGCUAGAGUGCAGGAGAGGUAAGCGGAAUUCCUAGUGUAGCGGUGAAAUGCGUAGAUAUUAGGAGGAACACCAGUGGCGAAGGCGGCUUACUGGACUGUAACUGACGUUGAGGCUCGAAAGCGUGGGGAGCAAACAGGAUUAGAUACCCCAGUAGUC